rnacentral:rRNA from 1 species
GACGAACGCUGGCGGCGUGCUUAACACAUGCAAGUCGAACGGAAAGGCCCUGCUUUUGUGGGGUGCUCGAGUGGCGAACGGGUGAGUAACACGUGAGUAACCUGCCCUUGACUUUGGGAUAACUUCAGGAAACUGGGGCUAAUACCGGAUAGGAGCUCCUGCUGCAUGGUGGGGGUUGGGUAGUUUCGGCGGUUGGGGAUGGACUCGCGGCUUAUCAGCUUGUUGGUGGGGUAGUGGCUUACCAAGGCUUUGACGGGUAGCCGGCCUGUGAGGGUGACCGGCCACAUUGGGACUGAGAUACGGCCCAGACUCCUACGGGAGGCAGCAGUGGGGAAUAUUGCACAAUGGGCGGAAGCCUGAUGCAGCAACGCCGCGUGCGGGAUGACGGCCUUCGGGUUGUAAACCGCUUUCGCCUGUGACGAAGCGUGAGUGACGGUAAUGGGUAAAGAAGCACCGGCUAACUACGUG